AUUGAACGCUGGCGGCAGGCUUAACACAUGCAAGUCGAGCGGAGUGAUGGUGCUUGCACUAUCACUUAGCGGCGGACGGGUGAGUAAUGCUUAGGAAUCUGCCUAUUAGUGGGGGACAACAUCUCGAAAGGGAUGCUAAUACCGCAUACGUCCUACGGGAGAAAGCAGGGGAUCACUUGUGACCUUGCGCUAAUAGAUGAGCCUAAGUCGGAUUAGCUAGUUGGUGGGGUAAAGGCCUACCAAGGCGACGAUCUGUAGCGGGUCUGAGAGGAGGGUCAGCCACACUGGGACCGAGACACGGCCCAGACUCCUACGGGAGGCAGCAGUGGGGAAUAUUGGACAAUGGGGGGAACCCUGAUCCAGCCAUGCCGCGUGUGUGAAGAAGGCCUUAUGGUUGUAAAGCACUUUAAGCGAGGAGGAGGCUCUUUUGGUUAAUACCCAGGAUGAGUGGACGUUACUCGCAGAAUAAGCACCGGCUAACUCUGUGCCAGCCGCCGCAGUAAUAC
rnacentral:rRNA from 1 species